ACCCAGCUGACGAGUCCCAAAUAAAACGAAACGCACGUCUUGGCU
rfam:Schistosoma margrebowiei strain Zambia genome assembly, scaffold: SMRZ_scaffold0004224